rnacentral:lncRNA from 14 species
AUGAAGAGAACCAAUUCCAUAUUUAUCAGAACUCCAGACACCCCUUCUUCCACCUCUCCUUCUCAGACCCAGAACUCUCAAAAAAAUCGGGGUAGAGAUCCAUUACACAUGCUUACUAUGGUUACUCGCCAUGAAAAACAGUAUGAAUGGCCAACACAGACUCCAGGUGGUGGAUCAGCAUUAAUCAUAAUAGACCCAGGGGCAGAGGAUUGGCAAGAUACCAUGAGAAAUGGUUGUACACCCACCCCCUUGAACUCCAUUUCUUCCCACAAGGGACAGGAAUGUGGAGUGUCUGAAGAAGUGACACCUAUGAAGGUUUUGAAGAAUGCUUGGGCUUUUUAUGUUGGAUACCUGCUAAAGAUACAACUCCUAACCAAAAGAAACUGAGAACCUCUCCUGAACACUGGGCUUGCCUGGAGAUGACAUUCAGAAGUUCCCAUAUUACAGGCAGACAGAUGAAUGCCCUCAAGCUGAAAGCAAGACCUUGCUUGACUCAGAAAACUAAUGUCAUUUUCC